GCAAACUUGGUCAUUUAGAGGAAGUAAAAGUCGUAACAAGGUUUCCGUAGGUGAACCUGCGGAAGGAUCAUUAGCGAAUAAACCUGUGUAGGUUGUUGCUGACCUCUUUGGAGGAUACGUGCACACCUGCCAUCGUUUCAUUCAUCCCUUCCACCCGUGCACUCUCUGUAGUCCACAUUAUCACCUUCAGAUAGAGCCCUGCAUGGGGCAUUCUGGCCUGAGGACUUGCCCUUGGCUGUCCUUGGAUGGGUGUGGUCUAUGUCUUUAUCAACUCUGAUUGUAUGACAUGGAAUGUUUGUUCUGGGUUUCAUACAGACCCAUAAAAUACUAUACAACUUUCAACAACGGAUCUCUUGGCUCUCGCAUCGAUGAAGAACGCAGC
rnacentral:misc_RNA from 1 species